AUGUGAAAAUAUUGAGGAAAAACAUGGUCUUGUAGGUCUAGGUUUAAACCGGAAUUUAUAGAAAGAUUAAAAGAUUCCCUAGGUGUAGCUAAAAGUUCAUUAUCUUCUUGAUUAAAAGAUAGGACCUCGGCUAUAGAAAAGGGUUGGUUUUGACCUAUUGCAAUCAACUUCGGACACAAAUCAUAAUUAGGGGAAAAGAAAGGACUUGCUGACUCCCAUGGUCUAUGGCUGGUCUCCGAAGGUGCAAAAAAUUCAAUAAUAGGUGUGGAAUUUGAGUUAUCCAUAA
rnacentral:lncRNA from 1 species